rnacentral:lncRNA from 1 species
AUCCAUGGUCAAGAUGAUACACAACACAGCAGCGACGCCCUCCGGCGCAGAUCGCUACAGUCGGACUUCCAUCGCUGCUCCUCCUGGCGCCACUUCCUGCAGAAUGGCGUAGGCGCGGCCCUCGGCCGACCACACAGUGUCUAGCCUACGCGGAAGCAGCCUAUGAGGCACAAGGCGAGGAGAAGGCAACGUCGCAGGGCCAGCGCACGACACGAGCGCGUCACGGCCGGCGCAUCCUAAUCAAGCAACAGCGGUGGCAAUUUGCAUUGGCUACCACACACAGGAUAAGGAUUGGGAAAAUCUUAUCUUCUAUACAUGUUGCAUUUCAGCCCUUAGGUUUAUUCUAUUAUGUAAGAUUGCCCUUUGUGUCACUACAUUUUACAAUCAAGCGAUCAGCCAUUUGAACAUUGGCCUUCAGGCUUAUUUUAAGCCCUUUGGUUUUCCUGUUUCUAAUGCUAAUGUUUGUUUUCUCUA